CCUCGGGACCUCAGGGAGAGCUACGAGGAAGUUGCUUUCAGAAAUGACUGGUUACAAUGGCUAAGCUGUGACAAUCCACAAGGGCUUCCAGAAUCCUGGAGUACUCUGGGUACUUCUGUCACCUUUAGUCCUCAAGACUGCCUGUGACCACAGCCUAGAGUCACCUACAAUUAGGCUACCUAUGCUGAAAUCCUAGACCUGCGACUCACUGGCUGAGCAACAAUGGUAGAUUUCACUCAGGAUCUCGCUGAACUUUGCAGUCUGAAGCAGCAAAGGCAUCCGAAUUCCUACAGAAGACACUGAGGCAGGGUAAAAAAGCAGGCACAGUGAUGCGAAGAACUGAAGAUAUGCCAGAGAGGGACAGCUCGACGCCCUUCUGGCUCACACGGCACCGAUGUGCAGCACCCAGCAGCAGCUCUGUCUUGAGCCAGACUCUCGAUCCAAUGAAGAGCUUAUUUUCCUUACAGGACUAUAUGAAGAUUAACAAGGGCAAAUAAAAGUUGUCUGGCAUACAUCUGACACUCCCAAGGUGGUAGCCAUUUCUCUUAAAACCAACAUCCAGCUGGGCAUGGUGGUGCAUGUCUAUAAUCCCAGCUACAUGGAAAGCUGAGGCUGGACGAUCCUAAGUUUGAGGCCAGCCUGGGUAAUUCAGACCCCAUCUUGAGGAGUGAGGAUACCACCCAUGGAGCUACUCAAAAGUA